CGUAUCGUUAACUAAUCAGUAAGGGAUUCGGUUGUAUUUUCAUCAAUGUAAUCCAGUCAUCUGGAUUCUCCGAGUGGCUCCUGUCCACUCUGUUUGACGCCUCCCUGUUAGAACCUUUAAGCCGCGCUCCUGCGCGGCUUUUUUUUG
rnacentral:sRNA from 1 species